CCUACGGGUGGCUGCAGCAGGGAAUUUUGCACAAUGGACGAAAGUCUGAUGCAGCGACGCCGCGUGGACGAAGAAGGCCUUCGGGUUGUAAAGUCCUUUUCUGGGGGAAGAGAUAGGACGGUACCCCAGGAAUAAGCGUCGGCUACCUACGUGCCAGCAGCCGCGGUAAGACGUAGGACGCAAGCGUUAUCCGGAUUUACUGGGCGUAAAGCGCCUGCAGGCGGCAUCGUAAGUUGGAUGUGAAAGCCCCGGGCUGAACUCGGGGAGGCCAUGCAAUACUGCGGAGCUUGAGGACGGAAGAGGGGAGUGGAAUUCCCGGUGUAGCGGUAAAAUGCGCAGAUAUCGGGAGGAACACCAGUGGCGAAGGCGGCUCCCUGGUCCGUACCUGACGCUCAGAGGCGAAAGCUAGGGGAGCAAACAGGAUUAGAUACCCUUGUAGUC
rnacentral:rRNA from 1 species